rnacentral:rRNA from 1 species
UUAAUUUAAAUUAAUUAUUUAUUAUUUAAGCUUUUUAAAGUUAUUUGAUUGGUUUGUAAUUAUUUUUUAUAAAUUAUGUUGUUAUAUGUCUGUAAAGUUUUUUUUUUAAUUUUUUUAUAGUAAAUUUUUUAAAUUGUACCUUUUGUAUCAGGGUUAAUUAAUUUAAUUAAAAUAUUUUGUUUUCCCGAAAUUUUAAGAUUUUAGCUGUUUUGAUUUUUGUUAUUUCAUAAAUUUUAAUAAAAUGAGUUAAGCUUUGAAAUGAAAAUCGUUUAAUUUGAUAUCUGGUUUAGUUUUAAUUAAAUUUAAUUUAGGAUUUUUAAUGUUAUUAAAUUAUUUAUUUUUUUUAAUUUAAAAUCUUAUUUGAUUUAGGCUUAGCUAAAUUAAUUACUAUAAUUUUUUUUUGUUAAAAAGAUUUUGUAGGAUUAGUAUCUUUUUUCUUUUACAGUUCGUUUUAGACUACUCUUUUUUUAUAAAUUGGUGAAAUUUAGUUUUAUAAAAUUUUUUUUUAAGAAACAAUUUUUUAAAAAAUUAAUGAUUAAAUUAGUAAAUUUAUAUAUUUUAUUUAUGAACUCGGCAAAUUUAUUAAAUCUUUUGACUGUUUAUCAAAAACAUUUCCUUUUGAUUUUUUUUAAGGUAAAACCUGCUCAAUGAAAAUUUUAAUAGCUGCAGUAAUUUAACUGUACAAAGGUAGCAUAAUAAUUAGUCUUUUAAUUGAGGUCUAGAAUGAAUGGUUCAACAAGAAGAAAACUUUAUUUUUAAAAUAGAAUUUUAAUUUAAUUUUUUGGUUAAAAAGCUAAAAUAUUUAAUUGGGACGAUAAGACCCUAUAGAUCUUAAAUUUUUUGUUGAUUAAACAUUUUUAGUAAAAUUAAUAUUUUUUAAUUGAAAAUUUUAGUUGGGGUGAUUUAAAAAUUUUUAAAACUUUUUAAUAUUUUUACAUUUAUGGAUGUUUAUUUUGAUCUUUAAUUUUUGAUUGUUAGAUUAAGAUACCUUAGGGAUAACAGCGUAAUAUAUUUGGAUAGUUCAUAUUGAUAAAUUGUGAUUACGACCUCGAUGUUGAAUUAAUUUAAAUUUUUGAAGCAGAAAUUAAAAGUUUUAGGUCUGUUCGACCUUUAAUUAAUUACAUGAUUUGAGUUCAAACCGGUGUAAGCCAGGUUGGUUUCUAUCUAAUUAUUGUAUUUAUUUAUUUAGUACGAAAGGACUUUUAAAUUAGGAAAAUUUCUU